rfam:Triticum aestivum genome assembly, contig: Triticum_aestivum_CS42_TGACv1_scaffold_288708_4AL
CAAGUACUCCCUCCGUGCGGAAAUACUUGUCUUCAAAAUGAACAAAAGAGGAUGUAUCUAGACAUAUAUUAGUUCUAGAUACAUCUCUUUUUAUACAUUUUGAUGAAAAGUAUUUUCGGACGGAGGUAGUACACA